AGAUUGAACGCUGGCGGCAUGCCUUACACAUGCAAGUCGAACGGCAGCACGGGAGCAAUCCUGGUGGCGAGUGGCGAACGGGUGAGUAAUACAUCGGAACGUGCCCAAUCGUGGGGGAUAACGCAGCGAAAGCUGUGCUAAUACCGCAUAAGAUCUACGGAUGAAGGCAGGGGAUCGCAAGACCUUGCGCGAAUGGAGCGGCCGAUGGCAGAUUAGGUAGUUGGUGAGGUAAAGGCUCACCAAGCCUUCGAUCUGUGGCUGGUCUGAGAGGACGACCAGCCACACUGGGACUGAGACACGGCCAGACUCUACGGGAGCAGCAGUGGGAAUUUUGGACAAGUGGGCGAAAGCCUGAUCCGAGCCAGUGCCGCGUGCAGGAUCGGAAGGCCGUUACGGGUUGUAAACGUGUACGUUUUU
rnacentral:rRNA from 1 species